CAAGUCUGGUGCCAGCAGCCGCGGUAAUUCCAGCUCCAAUAGCGUAUAUUAAAGUUGUUGCGGUUAAAAAGCUCGUAGUUGGUUCUGCGUGCCGCGCUGUCGGUUCGCCGCCUGUCGGUGUAACUGGCAUGUCGCGGCAUGUCCUGUCGGUGGUGAACGGAGUCCACGACGCUACAUGGGCUUUAUAGUCGAUGUUAGCAUCGUGUGUACUUCCGUUGGCCGAUCUCUCCUACUUCGGUGCUCUUAAACGAGUGUCGAGGUAGGCCGACACGUUCACUUUGAACAAAUUAGAGUGCUUAAAGCAGGCUGAAAUAUCUGCCUGAAUAGUGGUGCAUGGAAUGAUAAAACAGGACCUCGGUUCUAUUUUGUUGGUUUUAGGAAUAUGAGGUAAUGAUCAAUGUGGACUGGCGGGGGCAUUCGUAUUGCGACGUUAGAGGUGAAAUUCUUGGAUCGUCGCAAGACGCACUAGAGCGAAAGCAUUUGCCAAGUAUGUCUUAAUUGAUCAAGAACGAAAGUUAGAGGUUCGAAGGCGAUCAGAUACCGCCCUAGUUCUAACCAUAAACGAUGCCAGCCAGCGAUCCGCCGAUGUUCCUUUAAUGACUCGGCGGGGAGCUUCCACCCGGGAAACCAAAGCUUUUGGGUUCCGGGGGAAGUAUGGUUGCAAAGCUGAAACUUAAAGGAA
rnacentral:rRNA from 1 species